rnacentral:rRNA from 1 species
GGCUCAGAACGAACGCUGGCGGCAGGCCUAACACAUGCAAGUCGAGCGCACUCUUCGGAGUGAGCGGCGGACGGGUUAGUAACGCGUGGGAACAUACCCUUUUCUACGGAAUAGCCUCGGGAAACUGAGAGUAAUACCGUAUACGCCCUUUUGGGGAAAGAUUUAUCGGUAAAGGAUUGGCCCGCGUUUGAUUAGAUAGUUGGUGGGGUAACGGCCUACCAAGUCUACGAUCAAUAGCUGGUUUGAGAGGAUGAUCAGCAACACUGGGACUGAGACACGGCCCAGACUCCUACGGGAGGCAGCAGUGGGGAAUCUUAGACAAUGGGCGCAAGCCUGAUCUAGCCAUGCCGCGUGAGUGACGAAGGCCUUAGGGUCGUAAAGCUCUUUCGCCAGAGAUGAUAAUGACAGUAUCUGGUAAAGAAACCCCGGCUAACUCCGUGCCAGCAGCCGCGGUAAUACGGAGGGGGUUAGCGUUGUUCGGAAUUACUGGGCGUAAAGCGCGCGUAGGCGGAUUGGAAAGUUGGGGGUGAAAUCCCGGGGCUCAACCCCGGAACUGCCUCCAAAACUAUCAGUCUAGAGUUCGAGAGAGGUGAGUGGAAUUCCAAGUGUAGAGGUGAAAUUCGUAGAUAUUUGGAGGAACACCAGUGGCGAAGGCGGCUCACUGGCUCGAUACUGACGCUGAGGUGCGAAAGUGUGGGGAGCAAACAGGAUUAGAUACCCUGGUAGUCCACACCGUAAACGAUGAAUGCCAGACGUCAGGGGGCUUGCCCUU